rnacentral:rRNA from 1 species
AGAGUUUGAUCCUGGCUCAGGACGAACGCUGGCGGCGCGCCUAACACAUGCAAGUCGAGCGAGAACCAGGGCUUCGGCCCUGGGGAAAGCGGCGAACGGGUGAGUAUCACGUGGGUAACCUGCCCUCGGCACCGGGAUAGCCCGGGGAAACUCGGAUUAAUACCGGACAGCCUCAUGAGCUCUCGGGCGAAUGAGAAAAGGUGGCUUCGGCUUCCGGCUGAGGAUGGGCCCGCGGCCGAUUAGCUUGUUGGUGGGGUAAUGGCUCACCAAGGCUCCGAUCGGUAGCUGGUCUGAGAGGACGAUCAGCCACACUGGGACUGAGACACGGCCCAGACUCCUACGGGAGGCAGCAGUGGGGAAUCUUGCGCAAUGGGCGAAAGCCUGACGCAGCGACGCCGCGUGCGGGAAGAAGGCCUUCGGGUUGUAAACCGCUUUCAGGAGGGACGAGGCCACUCGGGUUAAUAGCCCAGAGGGUGACGGUACCUCCAGAAGAAGCCCCGGCUAACUACGUGCCAGCAGCCGCGGUAAUACGUAGGGGGCUAGCGUUGUCCGGAUUUAUUGGGCGUAAAGAGCGCGUAGGCGGCCGAGUAAGUCCGACGUGAAAUCUGGAGGCUCAACCUCCAGCGGUCGUUGGAAACUACUCGGCUAGAGUCCGGAAGAGGAGAGU